rnacentral:rRNA from 1 species
UACGUAGGGUGCAAGCGUUGUCCGGAAUUAUUGGGCGUAAAGCGCUUGUAGGCGGCACGUCAAGUCGCGUGUGAAAUCCCCAGGCUUAACCUGGGAAGUGCGCGCGAAACUGACGAGCUUGAGUGCCGGAGAGGGUCGCGGAAUUCCCGGUGUAGAGGUAAAAUUCGUAGAUAUCGGGAGGAACACCAGUGGCGAAGGCGGCGACCUGGAUGGACACUGACGCUGAGACGCGAAAGCGUGGGGAGCAAACAGG